rnacentral:rRNA from 1 species
AUUGAACGCUGGCGGCAUGCCUUACACAUGCAAGUCGAACGGCAGCACGGGGCAACCUGGUGGCGAGUGGCGAACGGGUGAGUAAUAUAUCGGAACGUACCCUGGAGUGGGGGAUAACGUAGCGAAAGUUACGCUAAUACCGCAUACGAUCUAAGGAUGAAAGCAGGGGACCGCAAGGCCUUGUGCUCCUGGAGCGGCCGAUAUCUGAUUAGCUAGUUGGUGGGGUAAAGGCCUACCAAGGCAUCGAUCAGUAGCUGGUCUGAGAGGACGACCAGCCACACUGGAACUGAGACACGGUCCAGACUCCUACGGGAGGCAGCAGUGGGGAAUUUUGGACAAUGGGCGCAAGCCUGAUCCAGCAAUGCCGCGUGAGUGAAGAAGGCCUUCGGGUUGUAAAGCUCUUUUGUCAGGGAAGAAACGGUGGAGGCUAAUAUCCUUUGCUAAUGACGAUACCUGAAGAAUAAGCACCGGCUAACUACGUGC